UACGUAGGGGGCAAGCGUUGUCCGGAUUUAUUGGGCGUAAAGAGCGUGUAGGCGGCCAUGCAGGUCCGUUGUGAAAACUCGAGGCUCAACCUCGAGACGUCGAUGGAAACCGUGUGGCUAGAGUCCGGAAGAGGAGAGUGGAAUUCCUGGUGUAGCGGUGAAAUGCGCAGAUAUCAGGAAGAACACCAAUGGCGAAGGCAGCUCUCUGGGACGGUACUGACGCUGAGACGCGAAAGCGUGGGGAGCGAACAGG
rnacentral:rRNA from 1 species